GGAUGCGAUCAUACCAGCACUAAAGCACCGGAUCCCAUCAGAACUCCGUAGUUAAGCGUGCUUGGGCGAGAGUAGUACUUGGAUGGGUGACCUCCUGGGAAGUCCUCGUGUUGCAUUCC
rnacentral:rRNA from 1 species